CCGAUUUGGAAAAAUUUUUUUUUUUAGUGUAUAGUGGAAGUUUCCGUGGUGGUCCUGCAUAAAAAAUUCUGGAUCCAACUCCUUAAUCCUGAUGCUGCAGGGUUACUGCC